GGCCGCUACCAACGGAGCAGGAGCAGGAGGAGGCCAUGGCCAUGGCCGGGGAGAGGAAGGCCGGGGCAGCCCGCCGGGGGUGACAGGCAGGGCUUGUUCUCUCAGCUGAGAUCACUUGCAAUAUUGAAGCUUCAUUAAGAAGAGACUCUGCAGUGAGACAAUCAGCCAGGCGCCUUGCUUGAACAGAGGAUUCUGCUCCACUCAGAUUGUUGCAAAAUUACAAUCCAAGUAGUCUGAAGCAAUAGACGAAGCAGGUCUUCUCAAUAAUGGAAGAGGGCAAGAGCUCAAAAAGUGGGAAUCAUGAUACAAGAAAAUCUGUCCAUACUACCUGUGAACAAAACAAAGCUGUCAGAGUUGCAACCAAUCAGAAUUAUAAAACUAAGAAAAAUGACAGAUCUGGAAAAGAAUCUGGAAAAAGUUCUUCAAGUGGGAGCAGUUUAAAAAAGAAUAAACAAAAUGAUGUUUGUCUUGAGAAGUCAGAAGAAAAUAAAUCAUGUAAGACAGACAGUUUUACUCCUGGAUGUAAAGAAAUGGGAUCAAGUCUUCAGGAUCAAAGUUGUAGCAAAGCAAAAAAAGUACCAAAUGUACCAGCAGCCACAGAAAAUCAGCAGCAGCUAAAAGUUCAGUUUAUAGAUGAAAACCCUCCAAGCUCCCAUGUUUCAGAGAAUGAUGCCAGCACAGAAACCUUACCAACUGCCCAAAGAGAAAGUUCUGAACUAGAAAAUGUGCUAAAAGAUAUAUCCAAAAUUAACAGGCCUAGUGAUUCAGACAAAACCAGUUUGGAUUUGAAAGCAGUGGCACAGCAACCAGAAGACUCCUGUAAAACAAAGCAUUCUGAUUCUGCUAAAGAAGCUAAUUCAGAGGCUAAGUAUUUAGAAAAUGUUGCUAUAACUGGUGAAUCAACACUAAUGGCAGAACAGGAACUUGGUUUGAAACAAGCGGAGGAACGACUGGAAAGAGAUUAUAUUAUCCGCUUGGAAAAACGCUCUCCAGAGUAUGCUAACUGUCAGUACCUAUGCAAGCUAUGCUUAGUUCACAUUGAAAAUAUCCAAGGAGCUCAUAAACAUAUUAAAGAAAAACGUCACAAAAAGAAUAUCAUGGAAAAGCAAGAAGAAAAUGAACUACGUGCUCUCCCUCCCCCUUCCCCUGCACAAGUGGCUGCCUUGAGUUUUAUGCUGAUGGAGGCAGCAAAGGAGCAAGGCAUAUCGAAUGAUGAUUUCAGAAUCCGUCAAGAAAUUGUAUGUGAUAUGGAGACCAUAAUACAGCAACACUUGCCAGAAUGUUCAUUGAGGAUGUAUGGAUCCUGCCUAACUAGAUUUGCUUUUAAAACCAGUGAUGUUAAUAUUGAUAUAAAAUUUCCCUCCACGAUGAGUCACCCAGAUGUUCUGAUUCAAGUGCUUGAAAUUUUGAAGAAUAAUGCUUCUUACUCUGAUGUGGAAUCAGAUUUCCAUGCCAAAGUUCCUGUUGUUUUUUGUAAAGAUAUUAAAAGUGGUUUAACUUGCAAAGUAAGUGCUGGAAAUGAUGUGGCCUGUCUUACAACUGACCUUCUAGCAGCGCUCGGCAAACUAGAGCCAGUCCUUGUUCCUUUGGUGUUGGCUUUUCGCUACUGGGCUAAAUUGUGUCAUAUUGACUGCCAAGCAGAAGGUGGCAUCCCUUCAUAUUCCUUUGCCUUAAUGGUGAUAUUUUUUCUUCAACAAAGAGAACCACGCAUACUACCAUCAUAUUUAGGCAAUUGGAUUGAAGGCUUUGAUUCUAAGAAGGCUGAUGAUUACCAGUUGAAAGGAAUAAAAGAUGAAAAAUUUGUAGUGUGGGAGUACAAACAAUCAAACAGUGGAGGAGGGAAAAAUGCUAGUGCUGCAGAAGGAAAAGCUAAAGGUGAACAGAACAGAGGUAAUAAGAGUGCAACAGCCGUAGAAACAGACACCCAGCAUAAUGCAAAGGAGAAAAAUGGCAGUUCUCCGUUAGCAUUGGAAACACCACACCAGAUAUCAUUGGGAAAGCUGUGGCUAGAAUUGUUGAAGUUUUAUACACUGGAAUUUGCUUUGGAAGAAUAUGUUAUCAGCAUACGGGUACAAGAACUUUUAACCAGAGAGAACAAAAUCUGGCCUAAAAGGCGAAUAGCCAUUGAAGAUCCUUUUGCACUAAAAAGAAAUGUUGCACGGAGCCUGAACAGCCAGAUGGUGUUUGAGUACAUACUUGAGAGGUUCAGGACAGCAUAUAAGUAUUUUGCGCGUCCACAGAAAAAAGAUGGGAGUAAGCCCAAACCAGACACCAGGAAAAAAGAAAAAGGAAAAAUUGGUAGCAAAAACCCUGGAGAACCUGCAACCAAUUGUUGCCUUUCACAGCAGGAUAAUAUUACAGAGAAGCAGAGCGCAGGCUGUGCAUGUAAUAUACAAGAGUAUGAGUUAAAUGAAUGUAGUGAAAUGGAAUCUACAUCCAGGAGAUGUACUUCUGAGAACCUAAAAAGCUCUCUGGUAAAAACACCAGAAAUUCUAAAUGCAAACUGUGACAGCAGAGAGGAAACUGUAUCCCAUAUUGCUAAUGAAUGCUGUGAAUUAGAACACAAGUCACUUAAGGCAAUGGAUGAUCAAGAGCCUGCAACUGAAGAAAAUUGUGUUUUUAGUGAAGAUAGGUCCCUUGAUGCAGAUUCUGUUAGUGAAUUAUCUGACACUGAAAGUAGACAUUCGGUAAUGGAAUAUCCACAAAAGAAUAUGUGCUCAGGCACUAGCACAUCAGCUACCUCGCACAACUGCAAAGCAGUAGGAGAAAUUCAAGACACUAAAGAUGAAAUUGCCACAGAAGAUAUGCAUUAUGUGUUUGAUAAAUUUAUUUUGACUUCUGGAAAGCCUCCAACAAUAGUAUGCAGUAUCUGCAAAAGAGAUGGCCAUUCCAAAAAUGACUGCCCGGAAGAUUUUAAGAAAAUUGACCUAAAACCACUACCACCAAUGACAAGUAGAUUUAGAGAAAUACUUGAUCUAGUGUGUAAAAGGUGCUUUGAUGAAUUAUCACCUCCUUUCUCAGAGCAACAAAAUCGAGAGCAGAUUUUGGCAAGUUUGGAAAGAUUUAUUCGAAAAGAAUAUAAUGACAAGGCCAGGCUAUGCCUGUUUGGUUCUUCAAAAAAUGGAUUUGGAUUCCGUGACAGUGACCUGGAUAUUUGCAUGACACUGGAGGGCCAUGAAAAUGCAGAGAAAUUAAAUUGUAAGGAAAUUAUUGAAAAUUUGGCAAAGGUUCUUAAGAAGCAUCCAGGUUUAAGAAACAUCCUGCCUAUAACUACAGCCAAAGUGCCUAUAGUAAAAUUUGAGCACAGACGAAGUGGUUUAGAAGGAGAUAUCAGUUUAUACAAUACACUGGCACAACACAAUACAAGGAUGCUUGCAACAUAUGCCGCCAUUGAUCCAAGAGUGCAAUACUUAGGAUAUACAAUGAAAGUUUUUGCAAAGCGCUGUGAUAUUGGAGAUGCAUCCAGAGGGAGUCUCUCUUCAUAUGCCUAUAUCCUUAUGGUGUUAUAUUUCCUACAACAAAGAGAACCACCAGUAAUCCCAGUUCUUCAAGAGAUAUUUGAUGGACAACAGAUCCCUCAGAGAAUGGUUGAUGGGUGGAAUGCUUUCUUCUUUGAUGAUACUGAAGAACUGAGAAAACGAUUACCCUCUCUUGGGAAAAACACAGAAUCACUGGGAGAACUUUGGUUAGGGUUACUGCGAUUUUACACUGAAGAAUUUGACUUCAAGGAAUAUGUCAUCAGCAUUCGGCAGAAGAAACUGUUAACUACAUUUGAGAAACAGUGGACAUCCAAAUGCAUUGCUAUUGAAGAUCCUUUUGACUUGAAUCAUAACCUGGGUGCAGGAGUUUCCAGAAAAAUGACCAAUUUCAUAAUGAAGGCAUUAAUCAAUGGGAGAAAACUAUUUGGUACUCCUUUCUGUCCAGUCUUGGGAAGAGAAGCUGAGUACUUUUUCAAUUCUAAAGUACUGACUGAUGGAGAACUAGCACCUAAUGACAGAUGUUGCCGUGUCUGUGGCAAAAUUGGUCACUACAUGAAGGACUGCCCCAAAAGGAGGAGAUUGAAGAAAAAGGAGAAUGAGAGAGAAGACGAAAAAGAAGUAAAGGAGGAAGAUAGGGAGACCAGAGAAAAGAGAUGUUUUAUCUGUGGUGACGUGGGACAUGUUCGAAGGGAUUGUCCUGAAUUCAAACAGACUAGACAAAGAAGUAAUGGUGUUCAAGUUCCACCUUUCUCCAGAAGGCCUAGGUGGGAGUGUGGCCUGUUCAGUACUUUCAACACCCAGUACCCUGUCAGCCUUCCCUGACAGAAGGAACAGGCAUCGAACUUCACCUGCUGCCCUUUUCAAGGGAUAAUCACAAUAUUCCUCCUCAUUUAUCAGUGGAUUUGGAAAGUAUACAGUACCAUCUUCCUGGACAUUGCAGUAUUUGUAUUUAUUUGUAGUAUUUAUAAUAUAUUGAAAACCAUAUAAUGCAAUACUUUAAUUUUAUUUGACCCUGGGUUUUUUUUUCCAGUGAAGCAGUGGCCUUUGAUAGAAAAAAGAUGCAACAUCCCUCUCCCAUUUUGGAAGAAUUGCCUCACCCCCUACUGUUGGAUCUUAAUCUGUUCAGUUUGGAACACCUUCACUUUAGUGCUUCCCUAUUCACCUAGAAGCAUCAGUGAAGCUACUCAAAGAGGCAUUUUCUUAUUAACCACUCUCAGUAUCUUGUCAUCUUGAGGUCUAGCAGAAUUUUUAAACCCUAGGCUUAAUGUAAGAUCUUUCAAAAAGCUAAGACUUUUUGGUAGUGGUAUGGCCAUGCUCCCUAACUUGAGUAGGUACCUCCUUAUCUUUUUUGCAUGGAAAAAGUUAGUUGGGAGCUGGCUCACUGUACUUUGCUCUUCCUUUUCCUUCUCCACAUAGGGAAAGUAAGGGAGAAAUGAAGGCAGUCACACUUGUAAACUGGAUGAUUGAUGAGGUUGGGGGUCUUGGAAGGCUGGCUGAAUGUGCCAGUGCACCUUCCUCUCACCUUUAAGUUAUAAAGAAGUUGAGAGAGGAAUGAAGCUGGGUAUCCUGAAGGCAAGUGGGAAGUGUGACUAGACCCCAUAGAUCCUGUGCUUACCUCUUUUUCCUUCCUUAGUCUGCAAAUCCCUAUAGGCUGUGGUGGUCUGGAUUAUGCUAUUGAGAGGAGAGUGUCCCCUCCUUUGUUUUAAGAGUAUUUGCCUUCAGUCCAAGUGAUAGUUCUGUUAGAAGUUAAAGUAAUUAUUUUAUAUUGUAUUGGUUUGAGUCUUACAAAAUUUUCAAAAACAAAUGUCAGUUUAUUCAUUGCAUACUGUAAUCCAAACCAGUGGAUUAGGCACCGCUGAAAAUAAUGGACCUUAUUUCUGAGUAAAAAUGCAAAGAAUUUAAUUGUUAAUCUUUCCUUUCAUUUUUAUUACCAAUGAUCCAAUCAUUGUUUUAUUUAUUUUUAUUACUGUUAGUCCUUUAUUACCAGACACACAGAAGCAAAUCCUGCUUUUCAUGGGCCCUAAUCCUAUGCUCUUUAGAACUUUAAUUAUAUAAUUUAGCUACUAACUUUUUCCUUAUAUUUUUAGCCCCUUUCCCCUAAGCAUCCUUGCACGCUCUCUGGCACCAAUUCCUGGCCACACCCAGUACUUAUGCACCCCCCACCCCGGAAUACUAUGAUGUGCCUCACUCAAGCAACUCAUGUUAUAACUGGUAUUUUCAGAAGUUUUCUUUCUUCAGUCAAUAAAAUAAAAAGGGACAUCUACUUUGAAUAGCACUUUAUUGCAAGAAAACCUCCCAUUAUAGUCAAACUAAGAAAAUAAGGCAUUCAUUUCUCUGCUAAAUUAUGAGUGAUCUCUAGCUAAGAUCUAAAGAGAAGAACAGGUAUUACUUCAGAGCUAUAAACAUAAGUGAACUGUUCCUGGUUUUGGUACUACAGUUACUACUGUAGAAAAAAAAUACUGAGUUAUAAAAAAUAGCUUAUCUCUGACAGAGGGCAUUGUUGCAAAAAAACCUGAGUAAAUAAAAUUCUAGCUGUGCAUAAAUCAUUGCUUUGGACCACAACAUACUUGGCUGCUUUGUCUAUAUUCAAAACACAUGUUCUGUAUAUUUUAUUUAGCUGCUCCAUUAGUCCGAAGCCUUGUAAACUCACAGCCAGUAACUGGAUCAAUUCCGCAGCAGGUGGAAAGACCUUUGCGCACUAGACAGCCAUCAGAAUGUUCUGAUUCUCGACAGUCAUCUUACUCUCCACAGCCUCAGCAAUUUCCC